rnacentral:rRNA from 1 species
GGAAUUCUGGUUGAUCCUGCCAGAGGUCAUUGCUAUCGGGGUCCGAUUUAGCCAUGCUAGUUGCACGGGUUAAGACCCGUAGCGAACAGCUCAGUAACACGUAGAUAAACUACCCUAUGGACUGUGAUAACCUCGGAAAACUGAGGGUAAUAACAGAUAGUACUCCUAUGCUGGAAUGCAGUGAGUACGAAAUGCUCCGGCGCCAUAGGAUGUGACUGCGGCCGAUUAGGUAGACGGUGGGGUAACGGCCCACCGUGCCGAUAAUCGGUACGGGUGGUGAGAGCCAGAGCCCGGAGAUGGAAUCUGAGACAAGAUUCCAGGCCCUACGGGGCGCAGCAG